GCCUUUGUGGAGCAAUGAUGCUCGGCCUGUCUUUGUUAUACAGCACAAAAAUGGUAAUUUAACAGGUAGAUGGUGGUUUGAUCCUACCCAAAGGCA